rnacentral:misc_RNA from 1 species
UCUCCGUAGGUGAACCUGCGGAGGGAUCAUUACUGAGUGAGGGCUCCGGCCCGACCUCCAACCCCAUGUGAACCGAAACCUGUUGCUUCGGGGGCGACCCUGCCUUUUUGGCGCGGCGCCCCCGGAGGCUCAUCAAACUCUGCAUCUUUGCGUCGGAGAAUUGAAAGCAAAUCAAUCAAAACUUUUAACAACGGAUCUCUUGGUUCUGGCAUCGAUGAAGAACGCAGC